GAUGAAGAACGCAGCGAAAUGCGAUAAGUAAUGCGAAUUGCAGAAUUUCCGUGAGUCAUCGAAUCUUUGAACGCACAUUGCGCCCACUGGUAUUCCGGUGGGCAUGCCUGUUCGAGCGUCAUUAUCCUCCCUCAAACCCCGUGUUUGGUGUUGGGCCCGCGUUCCCGCAAGGGAACUGGCCUCAAAGACAAUGACGGCGUCCGCGGGACCCUCGGUGCAACGAGCCUUCAGGAGCACGCGCCGAGUUUCAAGGUCCCCCCGGGCCGGUCUAACCCUUUUUUACUUCUAUGGUUGACCUCGGAUCAGGUAGGAAUACCCGCUGAACUUAAGCAUAUCAAUAAGCGGAGGA
rnacentral:misc_RNA from 1 species